AGUGAACGCUGGCGGUAGGCCUAACACAUGCAAGUCGAACGGCAGCACAGUAAGAGCUUGCUCUUACGGGUGGCGAGUGGCGGACGGGUGAGGAAUACAUCGGAAUCUACUUUUUCGUGGGGGAUAACGUAGGGAAACUUACGCUAAUACCGCAUACGACCUACGGGUGAAAGCAGGGGAUCUUCGGACCUUGCGCGAUUGAAUGAGCCGAUGUCGGAUUAGCUAGUUGGCGGGGUAAAGGCCCACCAAGGCGACGAUCCGUAGCUGGUCUGAGAGGAUGAUCAGCCACACUGGAACUGAGACACGGUCCAGACUCCUACGGGAGGCAGCAGGGGGGAAUAUUGGACAAUGGGCGCAAGCCUGAUCCAGCCAUACCGCGUGGGUGAAGAAGGCCUUCGGGUUGUAAAGCCCUUUGUUGGGAAAGAAAAGCAGCAGGUUAAUACCCCGCUGUUCUGACGGUACCCAAAGAAUAAGCACCGGCUAACUUCGUG
rnacentral:rRNA from 1 species